AUGAACGCUAGCGACAGGCUAACACAUGCAAGUCGAGGGGUAACAGGGUAGCAAUACCGCUGACGACCGGCGCACGGGUGAGUAACGCGUAUGCAACCUGCCUAUAACUGGGGAAUAGCUCCCUGAAAGGGGAAUUAACACCGCAUAACACUAUUGAUUCGCAUGGAUUGGUAGUUAAAUGUAGCGAUACAGGUUAUAGAUGGGCAUGCGUGACAUUAGCUAGUUGGUGAGGUAACGGCUCACCAAGGCUACGAUGUCUAGGGGUUCUGAGAGGAAGGUCCCCCACACUGGUACUGAGACACGGACCAGACUCCUACGGGAGGCAGCAGUGAGGAAUAUUGGUCAAUGGGCGCAAGCCUGAACCAGCCAUGUCGCGUGCAGGAAGACUGCUUCCUAUGGGUUGUAAACUGUCUUUUAUAGUAGAAGAAACACAUCUACGUGUAGAUGUCUGCCAGUAUACUAUGAAUAAGCAUCGGCUAACUCCGUGCCAGCAGCUGC
rnacentral:rRNA from 1 species